UACGUAGGGUGCAAGCGUUGUCCGGAUUUAUUGGGCGUAAAGAGCUCGUAGGCGGUUUGUCGCGUCGGAUGUGAAAACCCAGGGCUCAACCCUGGGCCUGCAUUCGAUACGGGGCAGACUAGAGUAUGGCAGGGGAGACUGGAAUUCCUGGUGUAGCGGUGAAAUGCGCAGAUAUCAGGAGGAACACCGGUGGCGAAGGCGGGUCUCUGGGCCAAAAACUGACGCUGGAGGAGCGAAAGCCGUGGGGAGCGAACAGG
rnacentral:rRNA from 1 species